UACGUAGGUGGCAAGCGUUGUCCGGAUUUACUGGGCGUAAAGGGCGUGCAGGCGGUCUGUUAAGUGCAGGGUGAAAGCUCCCGGCUCAACUGGGAGAGGUCCUUGCAUACUGGCGGACUUGAGGGGGGUAGAGGAAAGUGGAAUUCCUGGUGUAGAGGUGAAAUUCGUAGAUAUCAGGAGGAACACCGGUGGCGAAGGCGACCCGCUGGCCAGCGACUGACGCUGAGACGCGAAAGCGUGGGGAGCAAACAGG
rnacentral:rRNA from 1 species